UGGGGAAUUUUGGACAAUGGGGGCAACCCUGAUCCAGCAAUGCCGCGUGAGUGAAGAAGGCCUUCGGGUUGUAAAGCUCUUUUGUCCGGGAAGAAAUCCCCUGGGAUAACACCUCGGGGGGAUGACGGUACUGGAAGAAUAAGCACCGGCUAACUACGUGCCAGCAGCCGCGGUAAUACGUAGGGUGCGAGCGUUAAUCGGAAUUACUGGGCGUAAAGCGUGCGCAGGCGGUUUUCCAAGACAGAUGUGAAAUCCCCGGGCUCAACCUGGGAAUGGCAUUUGUGACUGGAAGGCUAGAGUGUGUCAGAGGGGGGUAGAAUUCCACGUGUAGCAGUGAAAUGCGUAGAGAUGUGGAGGAAUACCGAUGGCGAAGGCAGCCCCCUGGGAUAACACUGACGCUCAUGCACGAAAGCGUGGGGAGCGAACA
rnacentral:rRNA from 1 species